AAAAGAACUUUGRARAGAGAGUCAAAGAGACCGCGAAACCGUUGGGAGGGAAGCGCACGGCGGCGAGCCGUGUCCGAGUGGGACUCAGCAGGCGUGUCUUCACCCUGGGUGCCGCGACGCCCGCUCCGGCGAGUCUCCCCGGCUGCGGUCAGGGGAGCGUCGGCGGUGGGAGAGUGGCGGUGCCGCCUGCGCACUUUCCGCCCGGACUCGUCAGCGAGGAUCGCCUCGGGYCCAGAAGGACGGUGGGGUAGGUGACCCGGCGUGGCCUCUGUGUCUCGUUGGGAGCUUACAGCCUUCCGUUGAGGCUGCGGUCGCGGCCCGAGCGUCGAUCGAGGUGUGGUGCGAGCGUCGUUUCGCCGGAGAGGCCGGGUGGGCAACGGCCGGCGUUUGUCGGUCGGUCGGCCCGGCUCCGACGCUGGCGUCGAGUCGCUGCCGUGCGA
rnacentral:rRNA from 1 species